rnacentral:rRNA from 1 species
AGGGUGUAAACGCUGCAGACUUGGUGUUGGAAGCCCUUUGGGGGCAUUCAGUGCCGGAGAGAAGUUGUUAAGUCUGCUACUUGGGGAGUACGUCCGCAAGGAUGAAACUUAAAGGAAUUGGCGGGGGAGCACCGCAACGGGAGGAGCGUGCGGUUUAAUUGGAUUCAACACCGUAAAACUCACCAGGGAAGACUGUUACAUGAAGGCCGAGAUGAAGACUCUGCUAGAUUUUCAGAGAGGAGGUGCAUGGCGUCAGUGACU